rnacentral:rRNA from 1 species
GGCCGCGGGAAUUCGAUUCAGGCCUAACACAUGCAAGUCGAACGGCAGCACGGAGCUUGCUCUGGUGGCGAGAGGCGAACGGGUGAGUAAUAUAUCGGAACGUACCCUAGAGUGGGGGAUAACGUAGCGAAAGUUACGCUAAUACCGCAUACGAUCUAAGGAUGAAAGUGGGGGAUCGCAAGACCUCAUGCUCGUGGAGCGGCCGAUAUCUGAUUAGCUAGUUGGUAGGGUAAAAGCCUACCAAGGCAUCGAUCAGUAGCUGGUCUGAGAGGACGACCAGCCACACUGGAACUGGGACACGGUCCAGACUCCUACGGGAGGCAGCAGUGGGGAAUUUUGGACAAUGG